CUGACCGUGCAAAGGUAGCAUAAUCAUUUGCCUUUUAAUUAGAGGCUAGAAUGAAUGGUUUGACAAGAAUACAACUGUCUCUAUAUAGUUUAAUAGAAUUUAAUUUUUAGGUGAAGAAGCCUAAAUAAAAUUGAUAGACGAGAAGACCCUGUCGAGCUUUCUAAUAAAUAUGUAAAUUAUUAAAUUACAAGUUUUGAAUUACAUAAAAUUUUAGUUGGGGCGACUAGAGAACAAGAAAAGCUUCUCUUUUUGUUUUCAGAUAGACAAAUUUUGAUCCAAAAAUAUUUGAGCAAAGAAAUAAGUUACCGCAGGGAUAACAGCAUUAUUUUUUUUGAGAGUACAUAUCGAAAAAAAAGUUUGUGACCUCGAUGUUGGACCAAGAUAUCCUGAAGAUGCAGCAGUCUUUAAAGGUUGGUCUGUUCGACCAUUAAUAUCUUA
rnacentral:rRNA from 1 species